UACGUAGGGUGCAAGCGUUAAUCGGAAUUACUGGGCGUAAAGCGUGCGCAGGCGGUCUGUUAAGACCGAUGUGAAAUCCCCGGGCUUAACCUGGGAACUGCAUUGGUGACUGGCAGGCUUUGAGUGUGGCAGAGGGAGGUAGAAUUCCACGUGUAGCAGUGAAAUGCGUAGAGAUGUGGAAGAAUACCGAUGGCGAAGGCAGCCUCCUGGGCCAACACUGACGCUCAUGCACGAAAGCGUGGGGAGCAAACAGG
rnacentral:rRNA from 1 species